AUUGAACGCUGGCGGCAGGCCUAACACAUGCCAGUCGAGCGGAUGAAGGGAGCUUUCUCCUGGAUUCAGCGGCGGACGGGUGAGUAAUGCCUAGGAAUCUGCCUGGUAGUGGGGGAUAACGUCCGGAGACGGGCGCUAAUACCGCAUCCGUCCUGAGGGAGAAAGUGGGGGUUCUUCGGACCUCACCCUUUCAGAUGAGCCUAGGUCGGAUUAGCUAGUUGGUGGGGUAAGGGCCUACCACGGCGACCAUCCGUAACUGGUCUGAGAGGAUGUUCAGUCACACUGGACUUGGACCACGGUCCAGACUCCUACGGGAGGCAGCAGUGGGGAAUAUUGGCCAAUGGGCGAAAGCCUGCUCCAGCCAUGCCGCGUGUGUGAAGAAGGUCUUCGGAUUGUAAAGCACUUUAAGUUGGGAGGAAGGGCAGUAAGUUAAAACCUUGAUGUUUUGACGUUACCAACAGAAUAAGCACCGGCUAACUUCGUG
rnacentral:rRNA from 1 species